AGCUCCGUGGUCUAAUGGCACGAUGUCAGCAUUUUCCGAAAAAGCAUCACUGGGAAGCUGAGGAUUCCGGGUUCGAGUCCCGGCGGGGCGA